GUGCCAGCCGCCGCGGUAAUACAGAGGGUGCGAGCGUUAAUCGGAAUUACUGGGCGUAAAGCGCGCGUAGGCGGCUUUGCAAGCCGGAUGUGAAAUCCCCGGGCUUAACCUGGGAACUGCAUUCGGGACUGCAUUGCUAGAGUAUGGGAGAGGGAAGUGGAAUUUCAGGUGUAGCGGUGAAAUGCGUAGAUAUCUGAAGGAACAUCAGUGGCGAAAGCGACUUCCUGGACCAAUACUGACGCUCAUGUGCGAAAGCGUGGGGAGCAAACAGGAUUAGAUACCCUCGUAGUCC
rnacentral:rRNA from 1 species